AACAGGAUUAGAUACCCUGGUAGUCCACGCUGUAAACGAUGUCGACUUGGAGGUUGUGCCCUUGAGGCGUGGCUUCCGGAGCUAACGCGUUAAGUCGACCGCCUGGGGAGUACGGCCGCAGGGUUAAAACUCAAAUGAAUUGACGGGGGCCCGCACAAGCGGUGGAGCAUGUGGUUUAAUUCGAUGCAACGCGAAGAACCUUACCUACUCUUGACAUCCAGAGAAUUUGCUAGAGAUAGCUUAGUGCCUUCGGGAACUCUGAGACAGGUGCUGCAUGGCUGUCGUCAGCUCGUGUUGUGAAAUGUUGGGUUAAGUCCCGCAACGAGCGCAACCCUUAUCCUUUGUUGCCAGCACGUAAUGGUGGGAACUCAAAGGAGACUGCCGGUGAUAAACCGGAGGAAGGUGGGGAUGACGUCAAGUCAUCAUGGCCCUUACGAGUAGGGCUACACACGUGCUACAAUGGCAUAUACAAAGAGAAGCGAACUCGCGAGAGCAAGCGGACCUCAUAAAGUAUGUCGUAGUCCGGAUUGGAGUCUGCAACCCGACUCCAUGAAGUCGGAAUCGCUAGUAAUCGUAGAUCAGAAUGCAACGGUGAAUACGUUCCCGGGCCUUGUACACACCGCCCGUCACACCAUGGGAGUGGGUUGCAAAAGAAGUAGGUAGCUUAACCUUCGGGAGGGCGCUUACCACUUUGUGAUUCAUGACUGGGGUGAAGUCGUAACAAGGUAACC
rnacentral:rRNA from 1 species